GUUAGUGCUUGUGGAGGUAGGAACUCAGCUGUUGUCUGGCUGAAAGCUUGAGGAUGUGAACUGUAGAGGUGCUGUAUUGAGAGGGUAGGGAGGGAGCAGAUUCUUAUAGAUACAUAGGCAGAUAUGUGUAUAUGAGUGUUUAAUUGAUCUAGCCGCUAGUGGAAAUGUCAAGAGCUCCUACCUCUGUCCUGGUUUGUGCUGUACACAUUUGGCAGCUUUUAACUGAUGAAAUCUCAGUUCAGCUGAGAAGAAUACGAAGGAGCUGCUCCUUCAUAUAAGGAAACAAACAACUCGAGUUUUCAUCCCUCCUCCAAAGAAGAGCUUUGGUGGCUACUGUGCGUUCGUGCCUCAGAGGAGGAUGAGAAGAAUGGAGCUGAGUUUGCUGGUCCGUGCCUGGUUUUUCAGUCUUUCCAACUGUUGUUCCAUUGCCACAUCUGUUGACUUUCAUGCAGUCAGAGCCUUUGAAAAGAAUACAGCUUAGCUGUAGCAUCUGUCAGACCACAUCAGAAUAAUCAGCUUUGAAAAGACAGAUAUCAUGUGCUUGACUAUUGGUGUAUUUACAUGCUUCUGCAUGCAUGUUGCUUCUGAGGUUGUGAUCCACUCUGUUAUAAAAUACUGCAGGUCUGCUACAGUGAGAACAUUUGUGAUGUGUCCAUAAAGUGUGAGGGAUUUGAUCUUAUCAUGUAGGUCAUUCAACUAAAUCUGGACAGACUAUCAGAUGUUGUCUGAUUGCGCACAUGCAAAUGUUGCUGACGAGCAUCUUGUAUGGGAGCGUGCGAUAGAGCAAACUGGCUUUUAUAUCUGACAAGUACAUUUUGAGAUAAGAAGUGAGUAACUUGUAAAUGGACGGUUAGCGAAAGUUAAUGGGAAACUGGGCAGUAUUUCCAAGAUUACUUAGAAAACUAGGCUGAUGUAUCUUUCAAAAAGCAAAAUAUUCUUAUGGAAAGUAGUGAAUGUGUUGUCUGUUAUGGUUUGUUGCGUAUUAAAAUGCAUAUGAUACGUAAAGGCAUCUGAAAAUGCACAUGGAGGUGCUAGACCAGGAUUGAAAGCUGUAAC
rnacentral:lncRNA from 1 species